ensembl:lncRNA
UUUUAAUAAGUUUCAUGAAACAGACAAAGCGGUAUGACAGCUUCCUUCUUAUUCCAUUGGAACACAGCAGCAAGUGGAAGGAGUGGACUGGAACAAAUGGCCGACCGUGUGUCUGUAUGUGUGGUGUGUGUAUGUAUCUGCGCUGUAUGUAUGUGUGUGUGUGUGUGUGUGUGUGUCCGUGCGUGCGUGUGGGUGUGUGUGUUUGCGCGUGUAGCAGAGUUUGUGGUGUCUGAUCAAACAACAGCAUCUUCUGCUCUCAGUGAAUCAUGAUGCUAUGAGAAGUGAUCAUUAAAUGCCUUUUAACACGGGCCAGAAACAUGCGCACAUUCAAGAGACGACUGGGGCACUCCUCGUCUGGUGCUGACCCAUAGGUUGCAAUCACUUAUUUGGACUGGACGUAACCUGGGCUUCAGACACGUUCCCACAGGCUCCCCCCUGCACGGCUGUCCCUCUGCGAAGCUCACAUGACUAUCAAUGCGUAGGGGACACAGAAUGGCCAGGAGGCCUUCAAAACACCAGGACUACAAGGACCUUUGAGGGGUACAGGGAACAAAUCUGAAUCUUUGCUCACGGCACAUCAAAAAAAACAGAAUGGCGUCAAUCCGGUUCAUAGCGACAAUCACCGGAGGCCACCUUGGAAAUCAGACGAAGGCCGAGACGAAGGCUGAGACGAAGGCUUCAUACACUGGACUACACAGCAGUGUCAUGUAUGUCGCUCCCUAUGUGACUAUUAUGUCACUGCAUAUGUACAGCGUUAAAGUGUCACAUAUUCACAAAACACGUGUCGCCUUUUACCGGCGGUGUGCGCAGAAACAAAUGUUGCAAAUGACGAGAGGGACGACAUUCUCAUUCUCACCUUCAGUCACUCACUGGUACUGUAACCUGGCACCUGACCUAGUGUGUGGUAUAUAUUUCUUGCUGUCCUCUUACUCUCACAAUCUCCGCUUCUCUCUCUUCUAUCCUGUCUUGGCAGCGUCCUGUCUUCAUCUUGUCAUCCCUAUUCUCUUCUUCCCAUGUAGAUUCUCACCCUCGUUUACACACUCCGCGGUACCCAUUCUGCAUCACUGAUGCAUUGCCCUCCCCUCCUCGAUGACCAGUGUUUUGCUGAUCUGGUGGGUGGAGCCCUGCGGCAGCCGCGGUAACCUGGUGUCUCUGCCCUCUCGGAUUCAAAGGUCAGGAGUGAAAGGUCAGUGAACGAGAUAGAAAUGACAUCAAAUCAGAAACCAAAAAGAGUUGCAUUUGAAAAUGUACUUUCAUAGUGGUGGUUGACAAUAGAGAGCGCUUGGCGCCUUACACAUUAGCCAAAGUCCUACAACGCCUGCGUUGUCGACCACAAGUACAAAUCAGUUGUUGUGCGGCUAGAAUACUUUAAGCUCACCCCCGUCUUACCGAGCAGGUAUGAAUUUAAUACGGUGGUGUGUUGUGGUACCAUACAUGUAUGUACGGCUGUGUGCUGUGGAAUUGCUUGCCGUGCCGUUGUGCUGUCACGGCAACAGAACCUGGUGCUAUGAGGUCACCCGAGUAGUGAGCCUAGGCCCAUGUGCAGCAGUGGGGCCUUCCAGUCUUAUCACGCGUUCCUCAAUGGUGCUCCAGACACUACCUCCCUACUGCCUGCCUGCUCCUGUGUCAGUGUACUGCCCCCUGGAGGCCAGGGGGGAAACUGAACGGAAUCAAGAUCCAGGUGUGUAGAGAAGAUAUGGCAGGGAGAGAACAACUGGAGGAAAGGAGAGGCUGAGG